UAAAGUUCUCUUAUCAUGUACGAGUACAGUAUCUAAAUCGAUAGCUUCGGGAAAUACAUGCUUCAUUUGUGCAAGAUGGCUAAUUAAAAACUUCUUUUUUGUCUGUCUUUCCAUUUGAGUGCAAAUGUUCUGAAAAGUUGGCAACUGAUUCUGCAGAGCAAGCCAUCUGAUGGAACACUCCAUCCCAGCAAAAAGAUUGUUCAAAGUCUUGUACUUGUCCGGAAGUUCAAGAGGUUUGGA
rnacentral:misc_RNA from 1 species